AUACGGAGGGUGCAAGCGUUAUUCGGAAUCACUGGGCGUAAAGGACGCGUAGGCGGGUUGGCAAGUCAGAUGAGAAAUCCUACAGCUUAACUGUAGAACUGCAUUUGAAACUGCUAACCUAGAGUAUGGGAGGGGGAGAUGGAAUUAGUGGUGUAGGGGUAAAAUCCGUAGAUAUCACUAGGAAUACCGAAAGCGAAGGCGAUCUCCUGGAACAUAACUGACGCUAAGGCGUGAAAGCGUGGGGAGCAAACAGGAUCAGAUACCCUAGUAGUCC
rnacentral:rRNA from 1 species